rnacentral:rRNA from 1 species
GGGACGAACGCUGGCGGCGUGCUUAACACAUGCAAGUCGAGCGGAAAGGCUCCUUUCGGGGGGUACUCGAGCGGCGAACGGGUGAGUAACACGUGAGUAACCUGCCCUGGACUUUGGGAUAACCCUCGGAAACGGGGGCUAAUACCGGAUAUGACACGCGGAUGCAUGUUUGUGUGUGGAAAGAUUUUUUGGUCUGGGAUGGGCUCGCGGCCUAUCAGCUUGUUGGUGGGGUGAUGGCCUACCAAGGCGACGACGGGUAGCCGGCCUGAGAGGGCGACCGGCCACGACUGGGACUGAGACACGGCCCAGACUCCUACGGGAGGCAGCAGUGGGGAAUAUUGCACAAUGGGCGCAAGCCUGAUGCAGCGACGCCGCGUGAGGGAUGACGGCCUUCGGGUUGUAAACCUCUUUCAGCAGGGACGAAGCGUGAGUGACGGUACCUGCAGAAGAAGCACCGGCCAACUACGUGCCAGCAGCCGC